UUAGCUUUACCUCACAGUUUGGAGAAUUUCAUCUUCUCUGUUAAUUAGUAAAUGGACAACAUUUUAAGACAUGCCAUUCCUCUGAAGUCAAAGUUCAAAUAGGACAUUCACAGUCAGGUUGCCCAAUUUUCAAGUGUUGAGUCAUGCCGGCUAAAGGGCAGGAGGGCACAGAGGUAGAAGACUUGGACUGGUACCUCAUGCAGGUCAUGUGAAUAGCGUUCACUCUAUUCUAGAACUGGAGAGCUCCUUAGGUCCCUCUGUCAGAAUUUCUAACCAAUGGGAAUGAGAAAAAUUCUAACUGGCCCUGUUAAUUCAGAGGGAGAAAAACGUUUGGAAUGUUAUUUGUGGAACUGUAACUGUGACCUCAACUCAGUACAACAUGCCCAGGCAGGAUAUCCUGCACCGGUGACCUCAACACUCUGCCAAGAAGAAAGCCAUCAUGACAUGCAACCCUUUGAACUUGGCCCAUUAGAACUGAUUAUGGGUGACCAUCUCCAAACAGCAAAAAGUUACAGAGGAAAUUUCAUCUGCAAGGAGGAGAUAAAAAGUUUAAAAACAUCCAAUCAGCAAAGCUCCUACAUUUUACUGAUCAAGGCGUUUGCACAGAGGGCCAUGGUGGAGAAAGUGUCCAACUAG
rnacentral:lncRNA from 1 species